GCUCUUUUUGGGUGUUUUGAAUUUGAAAGCACAGGGAAUUAGACAUUUUGGUGAAUCACUAGUGAAUAUAAGAUAAGAUACUUCUUUAUUAGUCCCACAAAUGGAAAUAUGAGCAGACAAUUAUUACAAUCAGUUCAAUGUCAGUGUUUAUUUUUGCCCAAUGGACAAAUUUAAAGGAUUUUUGAGGAAAAUGAUAAAAAAUGACAAAAAUGUUAAAAUAUAGAGUAAAGGUAGUCACACAAUAAUAAUCCGACGUAGUACAUUCUAAUUUGAAGUGUCUACUCUUUUGUGGCAUUGCGUCUUUCUGUCUCUUCUAUUAUAAGUCUGUCCGUUGUGUCCUUAGGCAAGACACUUAACCCACCUUGCUCCCAGUGUGUGUCCUCCACUGGUGUAUGAUUGUGAGUGUUGUGUGGUGGUGGUCGGAGAGGCCGUCGGCGCAAAAUGGCAGCCACGUUUCCGUCAGUCUACCCCAGGGAAGCUGUGACUACCAAGGUAGUUUACCACCACCGAAGUGUGACUGUGUGAGCGAAUGAAUGAUGUAUCCAAUGUAAAGCGCUUUGAGGGUCUCUGAUAAAGCGCUAUAUGAAAUCUGAUGCAUUAUUAUUUAUUAUUAUUAUAAGAGACCAUGGGGGCAAUAAGCAUAAGUUGCUAGGCAUGCUGAAGGUCCUGGACACCAAGAUAAAGGCUUGAAUACAAUUGUUAUGCUAACUUAGACCUACACUGCAGGCCAAAAGUUUGGAAGCAAGGCCAUUACAGGCCGAACAGUUAGGAGUAACUUCAAGUUUUUGUCCACAAUGCUUUUUUUUUUUAAUCCAGCAUGAGUUAUAUGUACUUUGGGAUGUAUUUAUUCCAUGAUCAGAUGUUGCUUUCAUGGAAAUGCACCAUUUUACUCCAUUUACCUUAAGAUAUACAUUGAUGUUAACAGACCAUUGCUAAAUAUAUGUCAGCAAAAGAUAGUAAGGGCUUAGUUUUAGGGUUGAAAACAUUUGCAAGAGUCACAACUUCAGUGCAAAAGCAAAAAAAAAAAAUCACAGUUGGAUUAUUCACUUUAACUUUUUGGCUUUUGAGAGUCUGCAUACAAAAAUCCUAAUAAAUCUCAACUGUGUUCAAACUACCGCAAAAAUGGCUAGAAAGAAGCAACUGAGUAAAGAAACAAAAGUACAGAUUUGUACAUUGAGGAAAGAAGGAUACACAGAAAGAGAAAUUUCAAAACACCUAAAGGUGUUUAACGAAGGAGUCCGCUACACUCUGAAGAGACUAGAGGAACCUGGAAGUUAUGAUGAUAGAAAAAGACCUGGAUGAAAGAGAGUUACUACAAACUCUGGUUCAAACCAAAAGAUGGUUUGGCCCCCUCAGUCUCCAGACCUUUCUCCAAUUGAGCUUGUGCGGGAUGAAUUGGAUCGAUCAGUCAGAAAAACGCGUCCCACGAAUCAGCAGUCUCUUUUUAAUGAAAUUAAGAAAGCUUGGAAUGCAAUCCCUGGAACAUACCUUAAAAAACUAUAUACUAUAUGCCAAGCUUUUGUUAAAGCCAGAGGAGGUUACUUUAAAGAAACCAAAAUCUAAGCAACAAUAACUCAAAUACCUAAUAAUUAUAGUCAAAAUGUCUUCUGAUAAGUUACUCUUUACACAAUAGUCAUGUUUAUUGUGUUGCAAAUUAUAUUAAUGAAACUAUGAUCUUUUUUUGUACAAAUCUGAUCUUGCUUCCAAACAUUUGGCCUGUAGUGUACAUGUGUGCUUUUUAAGGUUUCCAUAUAGCAGCCUUGAACUAAAAAACUGCUGAUCGUAAUCAUUUUGAAAAUAAUUUACAAAAUGAAAACAAUAAGAGCUUUGAAGAGAUUACUCAAUUUUGUUGCCAGGGGUGUACAUGUUAAUAGCUCUGUGUUGAGUAAUUUUGUAUAUAUUUUUACAAUAAAUU
rnacentral:lncRNA from 1 species